GCUGCUAGAAAGUGAGGGGUCGCGUGGGUCUGAGGGUGUUUUCCAAACCCUGCUGCACACGGAUCCUGAGGUCUGUCCGUCCGUCCAGGUCAUCGGUAUGUGAGAAAUAUGCACCAAGCUGGUCCGUCGUCAGCUAUAAGAACAAAAGACCCAAGAAGUUAAUAAAUGGGCAGGGCACAAGUUGCUGGCAGACGUGGGAACGGUAGGAACCCGUGCACCUGGGGGCCAAGGCACCCCCUAUUCUGUCUGUCUUGCGCAGCACCACAGGAUGGCCUCCCUUCUCCAGAUGAUUGUCUUUGUCUCUUUGAAGGUUUGAUCAAUGUAAAUGUUCUCCUUACAUUAUACUUGAGGUAGGGUCUCUACCCUGAAACACACCACACACACACACAAAGUACUCAAACAAUGAAGAACCAGGUGGGGAGGGUCUUCACCUAGGGAAUAAAAAGCUUGGUGUGCUAGUUUGUCUUCUCGGGCUUGGUUGCCCCAAUUUGUAAAUUCAACUAAUAAAGCUUCACUUGCUGCCAUGA